rnacentral:rRNA from 1 species
UUUGGCCACCAUAGCUGUCCCACCUGCAGAUCAGACUGGGUAAUCCAUAUAAAGCUAAGCAGGUUUGGCCCUGGCCAGUAAUUGAAUGGGAGACCUGCUAGGAAAGCUGGGUUGCUGCUGGAA